AACGCUAGCUACAGGCUUAACACAUGCAAGUCGAGGGGAAACGACAUCGAAAGCUUGCUUUUGAUGGGCGUCGACCGGCGCACGGGUGAGUAACGCGUAUCCAACCUGCCCACCACUUGGGGAUAACCUUGCGAAAGUAAGACUAAUACCCAAUGACGUCUCUAGAAGACAUCUGAAAGAGAUUAAAGAUUUAUCGGUGAUGGAUGGGGAUGCGUCUGAUUAGCUUGUUGGCGGGGUAACGGCCCACCAAGGCGACGAUCAGUAGGGGUUCUGAGAGGAAGGUCCCCCACAUUGGAACUGAGACACGGUCCAAACUCCUACGGGAGGCAGCAGUGAGGAAUAUUGGUCAAUGGGCGAGAGCCUGAACCAGCCAAGUAGCGUGCAGGAUGACGGCCCUAUGGGUUGUAAACUGCUUUUAUAAGGGAAUAAAGUGAGUCUCGUGAGACUUUUUGCAUGUACCUUAUGAAUAAGGACCGGCUAAUUCCGUGCCAGCAGCCGCGGUAAUACGGAAGGUCCGGGCGUUAUCCGGAUUUAUUGGGUUUAAAGGGAGCGUAGGCCGGAGAUUAAGCGUGUUGUGAAAUGUAGAUGCUCAACAUCUGAACUGCAGCGCGAACUGGUUUCCUUGAGUACGCACAAAGUGGGCGGAAUUCGUGGUGUAGCGGUGAAAUGCUUAGAUAUCACGAAGAACUCCGAUUG
rnacentral:rRNA from 1 species